UCUUCUAGAGUCACUCUUAUGGGAGGCAGCACUGGGGAAUUUUGUGCAAAGGGGGAAACCCCGAGGCAGAAAAGCCGCGUGGAGGAGGAAGUCCCCUGGGAGGUAAAAUCUCUUUUAUCGGGAGGAUUAUGACGGUACAGGAAGAAGAAGCCCCGGGUAAAUUUUUGCCAGCAGCCGCGGUAAUAUGUGGGAGACGAGCGUUGUCUUGAAUUAUUGGGCGUAAAGGGCGCGCAGGGGGCCUGUCGCGUGUCUGGUGAAAGCUCUCGGCUUAACCGGGAGAGGUCCAGGCAAACGGGCUGGCUUGAGAGUCGGAGAGGGGCAUGGAACUCUGGGUGGAGCGGUGAAAUGCGUAGAGAUGUGGAGGAACACCAAUGGGGAAGGCAGCCUUUUGGGCCAACACUGACGCUCAUGCACGAAAGCGUGGGGAGCAAACACGAUUAGAUACCCCGGUAGUCCACGCCCUAAAAGAUGAGCAUUAGUUGUUGGGGGAGUUAAAUCGCUUAGUAACGCAGCUAACGCGCGAAGUAGUCCGCCUGGGGAGUACGGUCGCAAGAUUAAAACUUAAAGGAAUUGACG
rnacentral:rRNA from 1 species